UCCCUGGUGGCUCAGUGGUAAAGAAUCUGCCUGCAAUGCAGAAGAUCCAGGUUUGAUUCCUGGAUUGGGAA
rnacentral:tRNA from 1 species